rnacentral:rRNA from 1 species
GACGUAGGGCGCGAGCGUUGUCCGGAUUUAUUGGGCGUAAAGAGCUCGUAGGCGGCUUGUUGCGUCGACUGUGAAAACCCGCGGCUUAACUGCGGGCUUGCAGUUGAUACGGGCAGGCUAGAGUUCGGUAGGGGAGACUGGAAUUCCUGGUGUAGCGGUGAAAUGCGCAGAUAUCAGGAGGAACACCGGUGGCGAAGGCGGGUCUCUGGGCCGAUACCGACGCUGAGGAGCGAAAGCGUGGGGAGCGAACAGG